GAUGAACGCUAGCGGCAGGCCUAACACAUGCAAGUCGAGGGGCAGCGGGAAAGUAGCUUGCUACUUUUGCCGGCGACCGGCGCACGGGUGCGUAACGCGUAUCCAACUUUCCCGUUACUCAGGGAUAGCCUUCCGAAAGGGAGAUUAAUACCUGAUGGUGUUUGAAAGUUCGCAUGUUCUUCAAACUAAAGAUUUAUCGGUAACGGAUAGGGAUGCGUGACAUUAGAUAGUAGGCGGGGUAACGGCCCACCUAGUCUACGAUGUCUAGGGGUUCUGAGAGGAAGGUCCCCCACACUGGAACUGAGACACGGUCCAGACUCCUACGGGAGGCAGCAGUGAGGAAUAUUGGUCAAUGGUCGGAAGACUGAACCAGCCAUGCCGCGUGAAGGUCACGGCCCUAUGGGUCUUAAACUUCUUUUGUAAGGGAGCAAUAAGGUGUACGUGUACAUCGAUGAGAGUACCUUACGAAUAAGCAUCGGCUAACUCCGUG
rnacentral:rRNA from 1 species